CGGUACCUGGUACCUCAGCGUCCAGCCCGGCGGAGUAUGUUGUGAGGUCUGAUGGCUGAGUGAGGUCCGCCUAUCUGUGUGGCUUUGUGUUGUCGUGAGUGGAACCUAGGAACCUAGCUAGGUUCCCGAGGAAGAAGCA
rnacentral:SRP_RNA from 1 species